AGACGUCUACAUUAGACUACCCCCGUAGUCCCAGCCGUAAACUAUGCGCGUUAGGUGUAUCGGUGACCACGAGUUACCGAGGUGCCGAAGGGAAACCGUGAAACGUGCCGCCUGGGAAGUACGGUCGCAAGGCUAGAAACUUAAAGGAAUUGGCGGGGGAGCACCACAACGGGUGGAGCCUGCGGUUUAAUUGGACUCAACGCCGGACAACUCACCGGGGACGACAGCAAUAUGUAGGCCAGGCUGAAGACCUUGCCUGAAUCGCUG
rnacentral:rRNA from 1 species